AGCAAAGAUGAUGAUGCUUUUAUAAUUUCUGACACCUCUUGUAUGAGAAAGAACCUUAAAACAGUUUUCUUCUUUGAACACAUGAAGCAAACCUCUGAGCC
rnacentral:snoRNA from 1 species